CUGGAAGCAGGACCCAGGAGGCAGAGAUACCACCAAAGGGUCAAAAAACUUUGAAGAACUUCAGAAGAAAGCAGAAUGGCUCAGAUGCAAAUUCCACACAAUCAGACAUGUUUUGUUAAACCAAACAGGACUUUUUUUUUUUUAAAGAGAAACCUUUAUAAGCGAUAACACACAAGGAAAAGAAGAUCAAGUUCACUUCCCACGCCCAGACGAACUCUUUGUCCUCAGGAUUUCCUCUCCCGAGACAUUUUUUAAUGCUACCAUUCUUGCUAUUUGUGAGGUGUUUUGAUAAGUUUCAGACAAACACCCAACUUUCACAGAAACAUUUCCUCACACUUACGCCCAACCGCAGGAAAUGAUACAUGGCAUGUUGAUGACGAACUUGCAAGGAUCUUGUCAACUUUGGUGAAAUGACAAUUAGAUGCUAAGAGAAAAUCCCAACAGGACAGGAAGACCUACCAGGGCAGGAAGAGCAGCAGCCGUUGGGGCAGUGGCUGGGGUUUGACCCGGAACAUUAAAGAGGCUGAACUUGGGCACGACAGCUACGCUCACCCUACGCCUGGGCAAAGCCUACGUAUGAGGGGAGAAAGGGAGGUUAAAAAAGGGCAUACGCGCUGACAAGCUGCUGUUUGAUGUUCGCCUGUGACUGGUGGCACUGAAGAAAAGGCCUCGCCUCCACGGCUGCUGAAUCCUGACAUCUGCUGUUGUGAAAACACACUUGUCCUUCUCUAUGGAUCUGGCGGAUGAUGUUCUGAAAGCCAUCGCCGUGCGCCUGGAGAGACAGCACGCUUCUGUCGU